UUCUGGCCUCGCUGGCGUGGACGUUUGUGGGGUGGCGCGUUGGUCCUCACUCUCGGAACUGUGCUGGGAAGGAUGGUGGGGAGACUGGGGCUCACUUCCGCACCGUUGUAGGACCCGGGGUAGGGUGUUGAGUCCGUGGGAGCUGCCCCACGCGGCCUCGUCCUGCCAACGGUCGGAUGGCAGAGGCGAAGGACGCAGCGCAGAUGUUGGUGACCUUCAAGGAUGUGGCUGUGACCUUUACCCAGGAGGAGUGGAGACAGCUGGACCUGACCCAGAGGACCCUGUACCGAGAGGUGAUGCUGGAGACCUGUGGGCUUCUGGUUUCACUAGGGCAUCGGGUUCCCAAACCAGAGUUGGUCCACCUGCUAGAGCAUGGGCAGGAGCUGUGGACAGUGAAGAGAGGCCUCUCACACCCCACCUGUGCAGGUGACAGAACACAAGUUCAUACCAGAGAGCCAACCACUUACCCGCCAGACUUAUCUGAGUGGGCCUUUGUCCGGGGAAGCCUGACUGUGGAAUCUUCAACCUCAAGUGACUCGAGGUUGGGGAGAUCUAGGGAUAAGGAAGGGCUUGUGGAAAUGACACCAGAGACAGACCUCCACAAGGAGACCCAUCCUGGGAAAGCGAGCCUUGAAGGUGAAGGUUUGGGGACAGAUGAUGGUCUGCACUCCAGGGCAUUACAAGAAUGGUUAUCAACAGAUGUUCUCCAUGAAUGUGACUCACAGCAACCAGGGAAAGACGCCUUGAUUCAUGCAGGGACAAACGCCUACAAAUGCAAGCAGUGUGGGAAAGGUUUUAACAGGAAGUGGUAUCUUGUUCGACAUCAGAGGGUUCACACUGGAAUGAAACCCUACGAAUGCAACGCGUGUGGGAAAGCCUUUAGCCAGAGCUCAACUCUCAUUCGGCACUACCUCAUCCACACUGGGGAGAAACCAUACAAGUGCCUUGAGUGUGGAAAGGCCUUCAAACGCAGGUCGUACCUCAUGCAGCACCAUCCAAUCCACACUGGAGAGAAACCCUAUGAGUGCAGUCAAUGUCGAAAGGCCUUCACCCACCGGUCUACUUUCAUUCGCCAUAACAGGACCCACACCGGAGAAAAACCCUUUGAGUGCAAAGAAUGUAAGAAAGCCUUUAGCAAUAGGGCCCACCUAAUUCAACACUACAUCAUCCACACUGGAGAGAAACCCUAUGAUUGCAUGGCGUGUGGAAAGGCCUUCAGAUGCAGCUCAGAACUCAUACAGCACCAGCGGAUUCACACUGGGGAGAAGCCCUAUGAAUGCACCCAGUGUGGGAAGGCCUUUCACCGGAGCACAUACCUCAUUCAGCACUCUGUCAUCCACACUGCGGAGAUGCCCUACAAGUGUAUCGAGUGUGGGAAGGCCUUCAAACGCAGGUCACACCUUCUACAGCACCAAAGAGUCCAUACAUGACAGAACCCUAUUGUUGCAAUGAAUAUAGCAAAGCCUUCACCCACUGUUCUUAUUUUAUCAUUCAUAAUGGGACCCACACUGGAGGAAGAAGCCCUUCGAGUGCAAAGAAUGUCAGGAAACUUCAUUUUUUUCCUCAGCUCUUUCUUAACUAACACAUGAGCAAUCACUUUGGAGAGAAACGCUGUGAAUACAGUGAAUGUAAGGAUCCUUUCAGUCACCACUCAGUUCUCACUCACUGCAGAAGGAUUCAUGUCAGAGGGAAAUGUGGAAGGCACUCUAUCAACAUCAGAAGACUCAGGCUGGAGAAACAUUCCAAAUAUAACUCUUAAGGACAGUCUUUGGCCAGAGGAAAAAUCUUACUAUCCGAGCAUCAUAAUGAAAAGUUACUACAUAAUUGUCAUUGAUGUGAGAAAACUUUCUGUGACCAGUUUGUCACUUACUUGUCCUAUAAAGAGCCAUGCUGGAAUGUGACCCACCUCGGGAUUUUCUCUAUGAACUUAUGAAAACCUUCAGUCACAGGACAGAGUGCACAGUUUCCUUUCCUCUGGGAAGGAGAGUUGACUCUUGAGGACCACCACCCUCCUGCACCCUCUCUCUGGAAGGCUGCAUGUAUUGUAGCUGUGGCUGUACUUGUACCUAAGGCCCUGGGUUCAAGAGAGUUGGAGAAAUCCCUCUAGAAACAUAUUGGCUGUCAUCAAAGGGUUCUUUCCAGGCCUGAGGACCUAGGCCCCAGUUUGUCCCAAAGCAGGAGUGAUGUUUUCCAUGGGAUAAAGGACAGCCUGGGGUUUUUCUUAGCUUUCAACUCUUUCUGUACAGUCUUACAGUGUUUGGUAAAAGGAUCUACUAUGAACUUGCUGCUGUGAUAGGCAAGAAUCUCAUGAGACACCUGUCAUUUAGCUCCAUGGCCACUCACUGUUGUGUUCAUAUUUGGAAGAGUAGGAUGCAGUGGAUGGCUGGGCUAUGGGUCCUACCCUUGAGCAGGGAAGGAACUUACUGUCUAGUAUAGGAAAAACACAUGAGAACAGGUGCAAUAUAUUGACGUAAACUUGUUUAGCACCCAUUUUUAAGUCAGUAAAACUUAUGAACUUCUGUAUGUUUUCCACAAAUACUCAGUUUAUGAUUGAGGUAAAAAAAUUUUUUUUUUUUUUUUUUUUUUUUGAGACAGAGUUUUGUUGCCCA